CGUACACUCCUGCGGGAGGCAGCAGUGGGGAAUAUUGGACAAUGGGCGCAAGCCUGAUCCAGCCAUGCCGCGUGAGUGAUGAAGGCCCUAGGGUUGUAAAGCUCUUUCACCGGUGAAGAUAAUGACGGUAACCGGAGAAGAAGCCCCGGCUAACUUCGUGCCAGCAGCCGCGGUAAUACGAAGGGGGCUAGCGUUGUUCGGAUUUACUGGGCGUAAAGCGCACGUAGGCGGACUAUUAAGUCAGGGGUGAAAUCCCGGGGCUCAACCCCGGAACUGCCUUUGAUACUGGUAGUCUUGAGUGCGAGAGAGGUGAGUGGAAUUCCGAGUGUAGAGGUGAAAUUCGUAGAUAUUCGGAGGAACACCAGUGGCGAAGGCGGCUCACUGGCUCGAUACUGACGCUGAGGUGCGAAAGCGUGGGGAGCAAACAGGAUUAGAAACCCGUGUAGUCCCA
rnacentral:rRNA from 1 species